GACGAACGCUGGCGGCGUGCCUAAUACAUGCAAGUAGAACGCAGUUGCGGACGGGUGAGUAACGCGUAGGUAACUGCCUAAUAGCGGGGGAUAACUCUUGGAAACGAUAGCUAAUACCGCAUACUAUGCGCUGGACCUGCGUUGUAUUAGCUAGUUGGUGAGGUAAAGGCUCACCAAGGCUACGAUACAUAGCCGACGUGAGAGGGUGAGCAGCCACCCACGGAAUGCGACAAGGCUCAGACUCCUACGGGAGGCAGCAGUAGGGAAUCUUCGGCAAUUGACGGAAGUCCGACCGAGCAACGCCGCUUGAGUGAAGAAGGUCUUCGGAGCGCAAAGCUCCGUUGGUAGAGAAGCGUGAACCAACAAGAAAGGGACGGCUAACUACGCGCCAGCAGCCGCGGUAAUUC
rnacentral:rRNA from 1 species